rnacentral:rRNA from 1 species
UAAUACUCCAUAGAUUAGAGACACUGGAAUGUUCUUUAGUCGAAAGUUCUGGCGCCUUAGGAUGGAUCUGCGGUCGAUUAGGUUGUUGUUGGGGUAACGGCCCAACAAGCCUGUAAUCGAUACGGGUUGUGGGAGCAAGAGCCCGGAGAUGGAAUCUGAGACACGAUUCCAGGCCCUACGGGGCGCAGCAGGCGCGAAAACUUUACAAUGCAGGAAACUGUGAUAAGGGAACUCCGAGUGCCCGUAUACGCGGGCUGUCCAGGUGUUUAAAAAUCAUCUGAAGAAAGGGCCGGGCAAGACCGGUGCCAGCCGCCGCGGUAAUACCGGCGGCUCGAGUGGUGGCCACUAUUAUUGGGCUUAAAGCGUCCGUAGCUGGACCGAUAAGUCUCUUGGGAAAUCCGCCGGCUCAACCGGCGGGCGUCUAAGGGAUACUGUUAGUCUAGGGACCGGGAGAGGUGAGAGGUACUCCGGGGGUAGGAGUGAAAUCCUGUAAUCCCCGGGGGACCACCGAUGGCGAAGGCAUCUCACCAGAAUGGCUCCGACAGUGAGGGACGAAAGCUGGGGGAGCGAACCGGAUUAGAUACCCGGUAGUCCCAGCCGUAACUAUGCGCGUUAGGUGUAC